CCGCUUUACAUCCUGGCUACGACUUUGCCCUCCAGGAAGCGCAGAACCCCUGCCGUCACCUCCUCCAUCCAUCCCCGAGAGACCUCUGCACUUUGGGUCCUUUGCUUGUUCUAGAACAGCCGUGAUUUUCUUCCAUCUUUUUCCAACUAGUUCUCCCAGCGCCAGUUCCCAAAGGAAGGAUCAACUUCUUCUUUUUUUUUUUUUUGUCUUUUUGCCAUUUCUUGGGCUGCUCCCGCAGCAUAUGGAGGUUCCCAGGCUAGGGGUCUAAUCAGAGCUGUAGCUACCAGCCUAUGCCAGAGCCACAGCAACGCAGGAUCCGAGCUGCAUCUGCAACCCACACCACAGCUCACGGCAACGCCGGAUCCUUAACCCACUGAGCAAGGGCAAGGGAUCGAACCCGCAACCUCAUGGUUCCUAGUCGGAUUCGUUAACCACUGUGCCACGACGGGAACUCCUCACCUUCUAUUCUAAACACACGUCCCGAGCGGCAUAAAUCUGCAAUCAGUUUGGGGGAGUUCCCGUCAUGGCGCAGUGGUUGGCGAAUCCGACUAGGAACCAUGAGGUUGAGGGUUCGAUCCCUGCCCUUGCUCAGUGGGUUGACGAUCCGGCGUUGCCGUGAGCUGUGGUGUAGAUUGCAGACGCGGCUCGGAUCCUUCGUUGCUGUGGCUCUGGCGUAGGCUGGUGGCCACAGCUCCGAUUCGACCCCUAGCCUGGGAACCUCCAUAUGCCGCGGGAGCGGCCAAAGAAAUAGCAAAAAAAAAAAAAAAAAAAAAAAAAUCUGCAAUCAGUUUGGGAAGUGAUUAGAAAGAGAGAGACAUUUAAUUUGCUGCAGUAGUGACGGGGCGUCUAGGAGGAGGGCGUCCAGCCAGCUGCUCUGAGAGAGGCUUGUGAGAGCCGCCCCCAUGUCAUCGGGUCCACAUGUUCCAAGCACUGGACUGCAGCGGCAAAACAGGAGCAGAUGCCCAAUGCCGAAAGCCGCUGAAAGCAGAGUUGCACAGAACGAACUCCGAGAGCGGGACCCUUGCCUGCUUCUCACAGCAGCCUUUUCGAGACUCUGGACACCUGCAGGUUAGGUAAAAACAUGCAGCGCUGUGGAAACUUCUGUGUGGUCUGCUCUUAAGUGAAAGAGACAGGUCGACACCAGGGCAGCAACUCUGCAAGGACCUUUUCCGAAGUGCAC
rnacentral:lncRNA from 1 species